GAUUGCCAUCAGUGCGGAACAGAAAUGAACUAAAUUUAGUCAGCACGCAGUUCCGGAUGUGAACCUUACCCAGAAUCGUGUUGAGUAUCAGAUCGCGUGGGUGGGUACCCAGAACAGGACAGCGCGCAACCGGAUGUAGUGCGGACGUUGAACUGCACGUAGGAAGAAGGGGACUGUACUCUCAAACCCACAAAGCACCCACCUACUGUUUAUUAUUCGACAUCAACAUUACUCCAUCAAUGCAAUUAUCAACUCUCCUGGCUGACCAGUGGGUAGCUGCAAAAGCACAUCCGCUCUCUUACUUCUUCUACCCCGGGUGGUCAACGCCAUCUAACGAAAUCCAAGUGGGUGGCCAUAUAGGGAUGCCAAGAAGUCGAGGCUGACCGCCAGGCGACAGCAGCAGAGGACCGAGGACACGUGAAGAAAGACGAUUGCCCCACCACCCACCCCGACUACCCCCACGUCUUGCCGCCGCAUGAUGAGUGAUGUCAUUGUCAUCCACCGCGGGUGGGGGAACGGGAAGAGGCCCCCACAUCGUCUUUGCGCUGCUUCCGUGCCCUGGAUGCCAUGAUCCAAAAAUAAACACCUGGCAGAACAGAACGGAGAAGGAUGGCUGCUUUGUGAACAGAUGGUGCCAGUACUACCUCCUCCUGGACUUGGAUGACAGC